UGGGGAAUAUUGGACAAUGGGGGCAACCCUGAUCCAGCAAUGCCGCGUGUGUGAAGAAGGUUUUCGGAUUGUAAAGCACUUUCGACGGGGACGAUGAUGACGGUACCCGUAGAAGAAGCCCCGGCUAACUUCGUGCCAGCAGCCGCGGUAAUACGAAGGGGGCUAGCGUUGCUCGGAAUGACUGGGCGUAAAGGGCGUGUAGGCGGUUUGUACAGUCAGAUGUGAAAAUCCCCGGGCU
rnacentral:rRNA from 1 species